GUUGGCGAUUUUUGUUCUGGGGGCCUUAGCUCAGCUGGUAGAGCACCUGCUUUGCAAGCAGGGGGUCGUCGG
rnacentral:tRNA from 1 species